CCGAGUGAUGGCGGCGUGGGGACCCCCGGCCGAAAGCCGGCGGCUGCAGCGGCGGCGACCGGGCCGCGGCUGAGGCGCGGGAGGGCCGGAGCCGCAGCCCGGCGUGGUUUCUGGCGAGCGGAAAAGAUGGGGGGGCGGGGAGGGGGGCUGAAACCGUGAUCGUUGAGCCCAGGAAACGCCUGCGAGCCGCUCGCGGCGUACGGGGCUGGCGACACUCCUGGGGUGAUGGCAGGAGAAUGAGGAAGAUGGUGACGGUCCCCGGAGGUGUUUUCGUUUCUGUCUUUCUGAUGUUUAAGCGGCUGAGAGUGUGGCGGGAGAUGGGACGGGAAUGAAAACCUCCGCGGCUGUUUUGGGAAGAGAGCACGCAGAGAAAUGGGGAAGUCCUCCCUGCGGCGAGCUCAGGGGGUCGGCGGGCAGGUGGAGAGGAGGUGACAGACCCCGCGGGCCUGCAACAGCCGUGUGGAUCGCGAGGGGGACGAGACUUAACUUCCUCGACUUUCGGACUAGAGAACCCCUCGCAUCUUCCCUCGCUCAGGACCGCCGUAUUUUUACCCAGCUUGUACUCGGUCUGCUAAGUGGCGUCGCCAGGUGGCAGGAAAUCAAGGAAUACAUAAAGCCGCCCCGCACCCCCCCAGGAUGGAAAGCCAGAACCUUGAGACUCAAACAGUGCUGCUUCAGUCCCAUUACCUUGAGGACUUCCCCCGAACUCUGAACACCUUGAGCCUUCUGCUUUAACAACUGCAUGGAGUGGCGUGAACAAAUAAAGCGUGUGUCUGCCCAAAGAGAGGGAAAUAAAAGGAGGCCCCACCAUAAAGCUUGGGCUCCACAGAGCUACAUCUUCAAUACAAGGGUAAAUGAGAAAUGAAACCCGCCACGAGUAAGGGGAAAGUGAAGAAACUUGCUAGGGGAAGGGGGAAAAAAAACCGCCUUGAGAAUUUGUAACCAUGAACCAGCCCUUAUACAGGGCAAAUUCAUGCCACCUGUACUGGGAAAAGCUUUAAGUGGGAAAUUUAAUUUGUAGCAGCCUCAGGUUGGUACGCUCCCAGUUUACUGGUAAAAGCAAAUAUCCAAAUAUACUGGGAUUUAUUUUCAACCCAGGCCCUAAAGAAUUCUUGAAGAUAAAGUGUCAGGAAGAAUAAGCUAAUAGUCAAAACACACAAAGGCACCAUGAAUGAGAUAUUAGAAAUAUAGAUUAUAGAAA